rnacentral:lncRNA from 1 species
UUUGUUGGGUGGGCUUAUAUAAAAUUGUCUGUAAAUUUAUAUCAAAAUGAGCUUGUUGGUUCGAGUGGUAAGGGAGUUAGUAUGUUGGAGGUCUUGUUUUUGAAUCCCUACGCGAGCGUGAUGUUAUUUUUGCUCAGUUGCAUGAGAGAGUUUCGAUGGAGUUGGAAUUCUGAGUUAGUUGUUGUCAGUGGGAUAGUGGGGAGGGAUUUUUGGGAUAUCUUUUAUUUUUAUUUUCUUUUUUCAAAAUUCCUCUCUUUUGAGGAAAAUUGACGUCAAAUUUUCUUUUGUUUUCUUCUAUUCUUUUAUUCCUCACCUUUUCUGUUACUUCCUCUAUUUUGCUUCGAUUCGUCAACGAAUCUUGGUAUUUU